rnacentral:rRNA from 1 species
UAGAGUUUGAUCCUGGCUCAGAACGAACGCUGGCGGCAGGCUUAACACAUGCAAGUCGAACGCAUCCUUCGGGGUGAGUGGCAGACGGGUGAGUAACGCGUGGGAACGUGCCCUUCAGUUCGGAAUAACCCAGGGAAACUUGGGCUAAGACCGGAUACGUGCGAGAGCAGAAAGAUUUAUCGCUGAAGGAUCGGCCCGCGUCUGAUUAGCUAGUUGGUGGGGUAAUGGCCCACCAAGGCGACGAUCAGUAGCUGGUCUGAGAGGAUGAUCAGCCACAUUGGGACUGAGACACGGCCCAAACUCCUACGGGAGGCAGCAGUGGGGAAUAUUGGACAAUGGGCGCAAGCCUGAUCCAGCCAUGCCGCGUGAGUGAUGAAGGCCUUAGGGUUGUAAAGCUCUUUCGUCCGGGACGAUAAUGACGGUACCGGAAGAAGAAGCCCCGGCUAACUUCGUGCCAGCAGCCGCGGUAAUACGAAGGGGGCUAGCGUUGUUCGGAAUCACUGGGCGUAAAGGGCGCGUAGGCGGCUUUGUAAGUCGGGGGUGAAAGCCUGUGGCUCAACCACAGAAUUGCCUUCGAUACUGCAUGGCUUGAGACCGGAAGAGGUUAGUGGAACUGCGAGUGUAGAGGUGAAAUUCGUAGAUAUUCGCAAGAACACCAGUGGCGAAGGCGGCUGACUGGUCCGGUUCUGACGCUGAGGCGCGAAAGCGUGGGGAGCAAACAGGAUUAGAUACCCUGGUAGUCCACGCCGUAACGAUGAAUGCCAGCCGUUGGCGAGCUUGCUCGUCAGUGGCGCAGCUAACGCUUUAAGCAUUCCGCCUGGGGAGUACGGUCGCAAGAUUAAAACUCAAAGGAAUUGACGGGGGCCCGCACAAGCGGUGGAGCAUGUGGU